rnacentral:rRNA from 1 species
AGUGAACGCUGGUGGUAGGCCUAACACAUGCAAGUCGAACGGCAGCACAGUAAGAGCUUGCUCUUACGGGUGGCGAGUGGCGGACGGGUGAGGAAUACAUCGGAAUCUACUUUUUCGUGGGGGAUAACGUAGGGAAACUUACGCUAAUACCGCAUACGACCUACGGGUGGAAGCAGGGGAUCUUCGGACCUUGCGCGAUUGAAUGAGCCGAUGUCGGAUUAGCUAGUUGGCGGGGUAAAGGCCCACCAAGGCGACGAUCCGUAGCUGGUCUGAGAGGAUGAUCAGCCACACUGGAACUGAGACACGGUCCAGACUCCUACGGGAGGCAGCAGUGGGGAAUAUUGGACAAUGGGCGCAAGCCUGAUCCAGCCAUACCGCGUGGGUGAAGAAGGCCUUCGGGUUGUAAAGCCCUUUUGUUGGGAAAGAAAAGCAGCAGGUUAAUACCCCGCUGUUCUGACGGUACCCAAAGAAUAAGCACCGGCUAACUUCGUG